rnacentral:rRNA from 1 species
GCUGAACGCUGGCGGCGUGCUUAACACAUGCAAGUCGAACGGAAAGGCCUCUGCUUGCAGGGGUACUCGAGUGGCGAACGGGUGAUUAACACGUGGGUUAUCUGCCCUGCACUUCGGUAUAAUCCUGGGAAACUCGGUCUAAUACCGGAUAGGACAAUGUUUUGGAUGCUGUUGUGGAAAGUUUUUCGGUGUGGGAUGAGCUCGCGGCCUAUCAGCUUGUUGGUGGGGUAAUGGCCUAGCAAGGCGUCGACGGGUAGCCGGCAUGAGAGGGUGUACGGCAGCAAUGGAACGGGGAUGGCGGCCAGAGUUCUAUGGGAGGCAGCAGUGGGGAAUAUUGCACAAGGGGGGCAAGGCUGAGGGAGAGAGGCGGCGGGGGGGAUGAAGGACAUAGUGUGGUAAGCUCCUGUAGGUAGGGAGGAAUGGGUUUUGUGACGGUACCUGGAGAAGAAGCAACGGCUAACUACGUG